rnacentral:rRNA from 1 species
GACGAACGCUGGCGGCGUGCUUAACACAUGCAAGUCGAACGGAAAGGCCCUGCUUUUGUGGGGUGCUCGAGUGGCGAACGGGUGAGUAACACGUGAGUAACCUGCCCUUGACUUUGGGAUAACUUCAGGAAACUGGGGCUAAUACCGGAUAGGAGCUCCUGCUGCAUGGUGGGGGUUGGAAAGUUUCGGCGGUUGGGGAUGGACUCGCGGCUUAUCAGCUUGUUGGUGGGGUAGUGGCUUACCAAGGCUUUGACGGGUAGCCGGCCUGAGAGGGUGACCGGCCACAUUGGGACUGAGAUACGGCCGAGACUCCUACGGGAGGCAGCAGUGGGGAAUAUUGCACAAUGGGCGGAAGCCUGAUGCAGCAACGCCGCGUGCGGGAUGACGGACUUCGGGUUGUAAACCGCUUUCGCCUGUGACGAAGCGUGAGUGACGGUAAUGGGUAAAGAAGCACCGGCUAACUACGUG